AGAUAGUUGACGAAUCCUAAAUAGGAUGAAACGAGCGUCCUGGAU
rnacentral:hammerhead_ribozyme from 1 species